GUCCCAGCAGCCGCGGUAAUACGGAGGAUGCGAGCGUUAUCCGGAUUUAUUGGGUUUAAAGGGUGCGUAGGCUGUUAUAUAAGUCAGUGGUGAAAUAUUCGGGCUCAACCGGGAUACUGCCAUUGAUACUGUAUAGCUGGAAUAUGGUUGCUGUGGGUGGAAUGUGUGGUGUAGCGGUGAAAUGCAUAGAUAUCACACAGAAUAUCGAUUGCGAAGGCAACUCACAAAGCCAUUAUUGACGCUGAUGCACGAAAGUGUGGGGAUCAAACAGGAUUAGAUACCCUGGUAGUCCACACUGUAAACGAUGAUAACUAGCUGUCGGCGAUAGAUAGUCGGUGGCUAAGCGAAAGCGAUAAGUUAUCCACCUGGGGAGUACGACCGCAAGGUUGAAACUCAAAGGAAUUGACGGGGGCCCGCACAAGCGGAGGAACAUGUGGUUUAAUUCGAUGAUACGCGAGGAACCUUACCCGGGCUCGAACGGUGCAGGAAUAUGGUAGAGAUAUCAUAGCUAGCAAUAGUCUGUAUCGAGGUGCUGCAUGGUUGUCGUCAGCUCGUGCCGUGAGGUGUCGGCUUAAGUGCCAUAACGAGCGCAACCCUUGUCGUUAGUUACCAUCAAGUAAAGUUGGGGACUCUAGCGAGACUGCCACCGUAAGGUGUGAGGAAGGGGGGGAUGACGUCAAAUCAGCACGGCCCUUACGUCCGGGGCGACACACGUGUUACAAUGGUAGGUACAGAGGGGCGCUAUCCAGUGAUGGAGUGCGAAUCUCAAAAACCUAUCUCAGUUCGGAUUGGAGUCUGCAACUCGACUCCAUGAAGUUGGAUUCGCUAGUAAUCGCGCAUCAGCCAUGGCGCGGNGAAUACGUUCCCGGGNCUUGUACACACCGCCCGUCAAGCCAUGGA
rnacentral:rRNA from 1 species